AUUGAACGCUGGCGGCAGGCCUAACACAUGCAAGUCGAACGGUAACAGGAAGCAGCUUGCUGCUUCGCUGACGAAUGGCGGACGGGUGAGUAAUGUCUGGGAAGCUGCCUGAUGGAGGGGGAUAACUACUGGAAACGGUAGCUAAUACCGCAUAAUGUCGCAAGACCAAAGAGGAGACCUUCGGGCCUCUUGCCAUCGGAUGUGCCCAGAUGGGAUUAGCUUGUUGGUGGGGUAACGGCUCACCAAGGCGACGAUCCCUAGCUGGUCUGAGAGGAUGACCAGCCACACUGGAACUGAGACACGGUCCAGACUCCUACGGGAGGCAGCAGUGGGGAAUAUUGCACAAUGGGCGCAAGCCUGAUGCAGCCAUGCCGCGUGUAUGAAGAAGGCCUUCGGGUUGUAAAGUACUUUCAGCGGGGAGGAGGGGAGUAAAGUUAAUACCUUUGCUCAUUGACGUUACCCGCAGAAGAAGCACCGGCUAACUACGUG
rnacentral:rRNA from 1 species